rnacentral:rRNA from 1 species
CCUACGGGAGGCAGCAGUGAGGAAUAUUGGUCAAUGGGCGCGAGCCUGAACCAGCCAAGUCGCGUGAGGGAAGACGGUCCUAUGGAUUGUAAACCUCUUUUGUCGGGGAGCAAAAGACGCCACGCGUGGCGUUCCGAGAGUACCCGAAGAAAAAGCAUCGGCUAACUCCGUGCCAGCAGCCGCGGUAAUACGGAGGAUGCGAGCGUUAUCCGGAUUUAUUGGGUUUAAAGGGUGCGCAGGCGGAAGAUCAAGUCAGCGGUAAAAUUGAGAGGCUCAACCUCUGCGAGCCGUUGAAACUGGGGUUCUUGAGUGAGUGAGAGGUAGGCGGAAUGCGUGGUGUAGCGGUGAAAUGCAUAGAUAUCACGCAGAACUCCGAUUGCGAAGGCAGCAUACCGGCGCUCAACUGACGCUCAUGCACGAAAGUGUGGGUAUCGAACAGGAUUAGAUACCCUGGUAGUC